CUGGUGGGGAUCUAAAGAUGUUCUAUGAUGGGAGGUCAGAUGAUUCCUGUCUUGAAGUUGUGUAUAGAAUGUAUUGGCUAUGUUAUCACAUUCACACAUAUAGGAAAACCGAGGUAGCGAUUGUUCAUGGACUUGUCAUGGGUGGAGGUGCAUCACUGACUGCUCCAUUAAAAUUCUCAGCUGUCACUGAGAAGACUCUGAGUAUCCCUGACAUGUCCUAUAUAUAUAUAUUCUUUUAUUUUUUCCCCCUUUUUUCCUAGUUUUCGCUUCUACUUGAAAGUUCAAAUGCUUGAACUAGGGUAUGAGAAAUCAUUCCAGUGGAGAUCUAAUCCUAUGGAUGUCAUAUUUAAAUCUAUGGAUGCACAUUUUAUAGGUGAUAUAUUCUCAAGAUUUUCUUUGGUUUAGGUUUUUUCUGUUCCUGAAGUAAACCAUGCAAGGUUGAUCAUGAUCAAAUUGUUUUUUUUUUUCCCCUUUUUCAUUACUAACAAUUUGUGUUCUCCUCCCUGUUGAAGGACUGUUUGGUAGAUGCCUGAAUGUGGACUUUGUGUAUUUCAGCUCAUCUGCCUAACAAAUUAUCUGAUAGUUGAACAUUAUUGCUAAAGGAUUUGAUCGAGUUUUGAAAAAACAUUUGGAGUCAAACCCAACUUGAUAAGACUUGGUCAAGUUAAAGUCUUUUUUUAUCUUCUUCUCAUUUUUUUUUUUUUUUUUGUAGAUGAUGAGCUUUUAUUAGUUGAAAAAAGGUUAAUAAAAUCCUUGAUGAAGACUUCCGUUCCAUUUAUGCCAUAUGGGGCAAAGAUUGUGAUUCAAUCCUUUCCGUUCUUGUUUUGUAGCUUAACAAGGAGGGAGUAUUGCUUUUGCAAAGAUUGGAUUCCAAACUCUCCAAGGGUCUACCUUCUGAUCUUCAGAAGCUUAGAUGCAAGGU